CGUGCUUGCACUGAAUGAGAUUUUAACACGAAGUGAGUGGCGGACGGGUGAGUAACACGUGGGUAACCUGCCCAGAAGCAGGGGAUAACACCUGGAAACAGAUGCUAAUACCGUAUAACAGAGAAAACCGCCUGGUUUUCUUUUAAAAGAUGGCUCUGCUAUCACUUCUGGAUGGACCCGCGGCGCAUUAGCUAGUUGGUGAGGUAACGGCUCACCAAGGCGAUGAUGCGUAGCCGACCUGAGAGGGUAAUCGGCCACAUUGGGACUGAGACACGGCCCAGACUCCUACGGGAGGCAGCAGUAGGGAAUCUUCCACAAUGGACGCAAGUCUGAUGGAGCAACGCCGCGUGAGUGAAGAAGGGUUUCGGCUCGUAAAGCUCUGUUGUUAAAGAAGAACGUGGGUGAGAGUAACUGUUCACCCAGUGACGGUAUUUAACCAGAAAGCCACGGCUAACUACGUGCCAGCAGCCGCGGUAAUACGUAGGUGGCAAGCGUUAUCCGGAUUUAUUGGGCGUAAAGCGAGCGCAGGCGGUCUUUUAAGUCUAAUGUGAAAGCCUUCGGCUCAACCGAAGAAGUGCAUUGGAAACUGGGAGACUUGAGUGCAGAAGAGGACAGUGGAACUCCAUGUGUAGCGGUGAAAUGCGUAGAUAUAUGGAAGAACACCAGUGGCGAAGGCGGCUGUCUGGUCUGUAACUGACGCUGAGGCUCGAAAGCAUGGGUAGCGAACAGGAUUAGAUACCCUGGUAGUCCAUGCCGUAAACGAUGAUUACUAAGUGUUGGAGGGUUUCCGCCCUUCAGUGCUGCAGCUAACGCAUUAAGUAAUCCGCCUGGGGAGUACGACCGCAAGGUUGAAACUCAAAAGAAUUGACGGGGGCCCGCACAAGCGGUGGAGCAUGUGGUUUAAUUCGAAGCUACGCGAAGAACCUUACCAGGUCUUGACAUCUUCUGCCAACCUAAGAGAUUAGGCGUUCCCUUCGGGGACAGAAUGACAGGUGGUGCAUGGUUGUCGUCAGCUCGUGUCGUGAGAUGUUGGGUUAAGUCCCGCAACGAGCGCAACCCUUAUUACUAGUUGCCAGCAUUCAGUUGGGCACUCUAGUGAGACUGCCGGUGACAAACCGGAGGAAGGUGGGGACGACGUCAAAUCAUCAUGCCCCUUAUGACCUGGGCUACACACGUGCUACAAUGGAUGGUACAACGAGUCGCGAAACCGCGAGGUUUAGCUAAUCUCUUAAAACCAUUCUCAGUUCGGACUGUAGGCUGCAACUCGCCUACACGAAGUCGGAAUCGCUAGUAAUCGCGGAUCAGCAUGCCGCGGUGAAUACGUUCCCGGGCCUUGUACACACCGCCCGUCACACCAUGAGAGUUUGUAACACCCAAAGCCGGUGGGGUAA
rnacentral:rRNA from 1 species